AGAGUUUGAUCCUGGCUCAGGACGAACGCUGGCGGCGUGCUUAACACAUGCAAGUCGAACGGAUUGCGCCUGCUUUUGUGGGUGUGGUUAGUGGCGAACGGGUGAGUAACACGUGAGUAACCUGCCCCCUUCUUUGGGAUAAGCUCCUGAAAGGGUGUCUAAUACUGAUUAUUCUGCUGGUCUCGCAUGGGGCUGGUUGGAAAGCUUUUGUGGUUGGGGAUGGGCUCGCGGCUUAUCAGCUUGUUGGUGGGGUAAUGGCUUACCAAGGCUUUGACGGGUAGCCGGCCUGAGAGGGUGGUCGGUCACAUUGGGACUGAGAUACGGCCCAGACUCCUACGGGAGGCAGCAGUGGGGAAUAUUGCACAAUGGGCGGAAGCCUGAUGCAGCGACGCCGUGUGAGGGAUGAAGGCCUUCGGGUUGUAAACCUUUUUCGCUCUUGACCAAGGGCCGCUUUUGGGGUGGUUUGAGGGUAUGGGGUAAAGAAGCACCGGCUAACUACGUGCCAGCAGCCGCGGUAAUACGUAGGGUGCGAGCGUUGUCCGGAAUUAUUGGGCGUAAAGGGCUUGUAGGUGGCGUGUCGCGUCUGUCGUGAAAUUCACUGGCUUAACUAGUGAAGUGCGGUGGGUACGGGCAUGCUUGAGUGUGGUAGGGGAGAUUGGAAUUCCUGGUGUAGCGGUGGAAUGCGCAGAUAUCAGGAAGAACACCGGUGGCGAAGGCGGAUCUCUGGGCCAUUACUGACGCUGAGGAGCGAAAGCGUGGGGAGCGAACAGGAUUAGAUACCCUGGUAGUCCACGCUGUAAACGUUGGGCACUAGGUGUGGGGGCUGUUGUGGCUUCUGCGCCGUAGCUAACGCAAUAAGUGCCCCGCCUGGGGAGUACGGCCGCAAGGCUAAAACUCAAAGGAAUUGACGGGGGCCCGCACAAGCGGCGGAGCAUGCGGAUUAAUUCGAGGCAACGCGAAGAACCUUACCAAGGCUUGACAUAUUUGAGAAGACCGUAGAAGUACGGGGAUCUUUGGACACUCAUUUACAGGUGGUGCAUGGUUGUCGUCAGCUCGUGUCGUGAGAUGUUGGGUUAAGUCCCGCAACGAGCGCAACCCUUGUCCUAUGUUGCCAGCACGUUAUGGUGGGGACUCAUGGGAGACUGCCGGGGUUAACUCGGA
rnacentral:rRNA from 1 species